rnacentral:rRNA from 1 species
UACGAACUGUGCGAACGUUAUUCGGAAUCACUGGGCUUACAGGGUGCGUAGGCGGCUUGUUAAGUAGGGUUUGAAAGCCCCCGGCUCAACCGGGGAAUGGCGCCCUAAACUGGCGAGCUAGAGUGAGAUAGGGGUGUGUGGAACUUCCGGUGGAGCGGUGAAAUGUGUUGAUAUCGGGAGGAACGCCGGUGGCGAAAGCGACACACUGGAUCUUGUCUGACGCUGAGGCACGAAAGCCAGGGGAGCGAACGGG